GAGCCUUGCUGUCUGUCUCCAUCUUCUGACAGCUGCAAGUUGGAAAAGCAAGACGUGUGGAGUCUGGUCUGUAAGGGGAAGAGCUGAACUGCAGUAAGUCGGGGACAUAAAAAGCCUGAGAGUUCAAGGACGGCAAGACAGAAAACACCGCUUCCUUUCACUGAAAGAAUGUGGCUGGAAGUAUCCCUGAAGGAGAUUCAUCCUGUUGUUGUUUCAAGGAUCCUGGCAAGGCUAGUAUUUGAAAGCCACCCAUGAACAAUAGAACGAAAACAGCUGCACAGCAACCCUAAUCUGAUGUAGAUACAGUUUGAAUGAAGCAAAUCCAGCUGUGGCAGGUGCAGACUGGCUAGUGUCUGUGUCAUUACCAACUCCUCUUCUACAAUGCCUGGAACAGCUAUAUAUGUGUGUGUGCACGAGACACACACACACACACACAUAUUGUUAAGGUGAUCAACAAACAUUUACAUAAAUGAACAUAUGUGUACCAUGAAAUAGCCUUCCUAACUCAUGAAUGCAGA